rnacentral:rRNA from 1 species
UUGCUCUUCAACGAGGAAUGCCUAGUAAGCGCGUGUCAUCAGCAUGCGUUGAUUACGUCCCUGCCCUUUGUACACACCGCCCGUCGCUACUACCGAUUGAAUGGCUCAGUGAGGCCUUCGGACUGGCUUAGGGAGGUUGGCAACGACCACCUUGAGCCGGAAAGUUGGUCAAACUCGGUCAUUUAGAGGAAGUAAAAGUCGUAACAAGGUUUCCGUAGGUGAACCUGCGGAAGGAUCAUUACCUUUCAGGGAACUAUAGUCUUCUAUAGAUCCUGUCUACACCCAUGUCUAUUGCGUACUUAUGUUUCCUCGGCGGACUUGUUCCGCCGACUGGACUCUUCAAAACCUUUGUAAUUGUAAUCAGCGUCUGAAAAAUAUUUAAUAUUUACAACUUUCAACAACGGAUCUCUUGGUUCUGGCAUCGAUGAAGAACGCAGCGAAAUGCGAUAAGUAGUGUGAAUUGCAGAAUUCAGUGAAUCAUCGAAUCUUUGAACGCACAUUGCGCCCCUUGGUAUUCCAUGGGGCAUGCCUGUUCGAGCGUCAUUUGUACCCUCAAGCUCUGCUUGGUGUUGGGUGUUUGUCGGAUCCUCUGCGAUUCGACUCGCCUUAAAUUUAUUGGCAGCCGGCAUAUUGGCCUAGGAGCGCAGCACAUUUUGCGAUCGUAGCCAGUACUCUAGCAUCCAUUAAGCUCAAUUAUCACUUUUGACCUCGGAUCAGGUAGGGAUACCCGCUGAACUUAAGCAUAUCAAUAAGCGGAGGA